AUUCUUAGCGCAGGAUCCUAUUCUCAGCUCAACCCUCUGACCACUCUGCAUCUCUGAUGAGUCACCAGGAAAUCCCCCUGGAAUUCCCAGGUGCAUUACCAGACCCACAUUUAAGAUCUAGGCUGAUAAAAGGAAUUAAGAACAUUAGGAAGAGCAGCUGGAUCACCCUGGCAAGUACCUCAGGAAGGCAGAGCUAACUGCUCCUAAUACGGCUGGAGAGCCAGGGUUUUUUGGUUUUGGUUUCAUCUGUAACUCAGGCAAACACACACUAUGCAAAAGAAAAAUUCUGGAAGAGUUCAUUAACAGAUCACUUCAAAAUAUUAUUUUUUGUUUUGGAGACAAUUGCAAUCACACUUUGCUAAGCCUCUGCCUUCUUAAAGACCAGAGCAGGAGCCACCAGUGCUGCCUGCCACCUGCUUCCCAUCAACCCAGGCUUCUGCAAUCAGUCUGCAUAGCCUCUCCUCACUUUGACCUCUUAUGGUCCAGGGAAUGGUGGAAUAUAUAAUAUGGAGUAACCAAGUGACUUUUUGGUGUACAAUAUACCAUCACU